ACCUAAACAACCUUACAGGCAGUUGCUAAAGCGAAAGUGCAGCGACUGCAUUUUUUAUAACCCUUAUUGGGCGCGAAAAAGAAGAUGUCUCAUUGGUUAGGAGUGCGGCUUCAUUUUUAACCAAUGAAAAAUGCGAGCUUGGGACUCUUGUAUUCUGAUUGGUCAGAACUAAUUUCUGACGUUUUCUUGAACAGCCACCAAUCAGACACAAGACUUUACUUAUUUCACCUUAUUUGCAUAAGAGAUUCUAUAUAAAAAGGACACGUUGUGCUUUCUUCUUGUUGCUCUAUCUUUUCCUGUCAUUUUUUUGUUGAGGCAAGUUGAGUUGCUGUAAUUAUGCCUGAACCGGCUAAGUCAGCCCCAGCCCCGAAAAAAGGCUCCAAGAAGGCGGUGACCAAGGCGCAGAAAAAGGACGGCAAGAAGCGCAAGCGCAGCCGCAAGGAGAGCUACUCCAUCUACGUGUACAAGGUGCUGAAGCAGGUCCACCCGGACACCGGCAUCUCGUCCAAGGCCAUGGGCAUCAUGAAUUCGUUCGUCAACGACAUAUUCGAGCGCAUCGCGGGCGAGGCGUCGCGUCUGGCGCAUUACAACAAGCGCUCGACCAUCACGUCCCGGGAGAUCCAGACGGCCGUGCGCCUGCUGCUGCCCGGGGAGCUGGCCAAGCACGCUGUGUCUGAGGGCACUAAGGCCGUCACGAAGUAUACCAGCGCCAAGUAAACAGUGAGUUGGCUGUAAACAACCCUAACGGCUCUUUUAAGAGCCACCCAUGUUCUCAGUGAGAGAGCUGGUGUAUGCUCUUUUGUAUUAAGCCUUUGUAACUCCAUUAGAGUUUUUAGUUGCGAGAUAAAGGAAUUACUGUAGCAAUCUUAUGUAGACUUUCCUGUCAUGCCAAGCGCGAGAUUCGCUAACGACAGGGACAACGGUACCUGAUCCUGGCAUAAGUCUAGAACUUCUUAUGUAAAGUAACCUUGCCCCGGGCUUUCCGUUUAUCAUUUAGGAAACUCCUACAUCUAAAAAGUCCCUACCAAUUCUGAUACCCAUUAGGUUAAUUAAUGAGGGAAGCAAUACUUUUAAAAGUUCGUAGCAAAUUCAAAUACUCCCCAGUCACCUGUCAGGGACAAAGAGUCGAACUCCUGCAGGGGAGCAGAUUUUGCGCGGGCAGUUUAAAUUUUCGCGGGGCGCGCCUGUCCUUCCCCUCCACGUCCUGAUUGGUUGCGGGCACCCGGGCAGAGACUUGAGGGUUUCAGUGCGCGGGAGGUAUAUCCGCUUCCCGCCUCCCCAGGUCCAGCGCACACACGGGCCUUCAGUAAACAUAUUCGGGGAAUGUACACUCAUUAUACUUGAAAAUAAAGAAGGAAAGAAAGGAAGAAAGAAAAUUAUUUUCCUUCACCAUCUCCAUCCCACACUAAUGUGUACAUCUAGAUAAUGAAACAACACGGGCAAGAUGUUGGUAAUUGGUGAACAUGCGUGAAGGUCACUUGAAGGGUGACAACGAGAGGAAUCACGAGUUGGCAAAGAGAGAUUCCAGUACUGGAACUAAGGGAGCAAGAAGAGAAGGAAUUUGCACAAGGGAGGAGCUCACAGCAGCUGCAGUCCCCUCCUUCCAGCUCACAGGCUGGUCAAUCAAGAAACGCUAUUGCCAUCUUGUGGCCCUUUAAGAUAAUGCAGCUAAAACUUUUGUGGUUUCUAUUAGGAAGCUUAUUGCUAGGGUUUAAUAAUUUCAUAUAUAAAUACAAUAAACAAUCUUACUUCAGCUUCCUAGUUUCUCCAUCCAUAACAAAGAACCUUGUUUAUUAGUUUCCUAUUUAUUAGUGUAUCUAGUGUAUCUAGAUGGGUAUCUAAAAUUUCUUUACACAAACAUAAAUGUAGAAAUGUGGAUUCUCUUUGCCCCUCUAACUCAAAUGGCUAAUGGCUAUGUUCUUCUCAUGGUUUCUCCUCUUGCUUUUCUCAUUAUCUAGCUUGGAACUCUUUUCCUAGUAGUAAGUAGAGUGGCUAAAACUUCUCAGCAGGUGCCCAUGAGCCAGUGACCCGAGGAGGGUUAGCCAAGGCCAAACCUGUUCCUACACUGGGAACCACAAUGGCUGCAUCUUCCCAGAAAAUAAUCCUGAUGUUUAUCUUUGAGAAGUGUGUGUCUCUUUGACGAAGUGCCCAGGGGUUGAGCCUGGUCAGGAAAGCUGUGGGGUGGCUGAAUUCCUGUUCCCUUCCUAGGAUGGGACCUCCAUGCUUUUGUAAGGAAGGACAUGGAGGUCCUAUUACAAGUAUUCAUCUUGUUAGUGAGGCCUUUGAGUGUCAUUUUUAUAACUGAGGUAAGAAGAAAAACUUCCUGAGUCUUGUCUUAUCAAAAUAAUACCUAAGAGACACAUUUUGGACAGGCAAAUUUUGCUCAUCUACAAUAACCUGUAUACCUUGUAUAUACAUGGAAGGUACCCAGAAAAACUGAAAAAAACUCCCUGAAAUGCCCCACACCAUUACACUAAAUACCAUCUUCAACUAAAGAUGAAAGCAGGUAAGGUUCUUAUGCAGAUUUAAGUCAGGUACCUUCUCUAUUGUUAAGUUUCUCUUCCUGGUAUAGAGAGGGAGACAUUCUUACAAAUGGAGACUUCCCUUAUAAAUGUAAAGCUCCCUUAUAAAAGAGUAAAUUCCACUGUGUUUAGAGCUUCUCCUGUGUCUUUUUUUUCUCAAAAAUAAUCAGCUCCAAAUAAUCAGCUCGUAUGCCAAAGAGGUGUAUUUUGGGGUCGCAUAUUUUUCUACCCUUCACUUCGCUGUGGAAGAAUCUACUUCCAAGCUCACUCAGAUAGUCUGCAGAAUUCAUUUCCUUGCAGCUUAAGGAUUGAGGGCUGAGGCUUCUUGCUGAUAGUUAGCUGGAGGUAUCUUUCAGUUCCUAGGGGCUACCCGCACUUUCUAGAGGUACCUGAAGCUCUUGCCUAGUGAGCUUUCCCUUCUUGACCACUUACACCAUGAAGCCAGCAAGAAUGCUCUCUAUAGUGAGUCUGCUAGCAAGACUGAGUCAUAUAUAGCUCAGUAUAAUCACAGAAAUGAUCCAAUCAUCUUUGUCAUAUUAUAUUAAUUAUAAGUAAGUCACAGGUCCAACUCACACUCAAGAGGAGGACAUAGACAAAAGUCUGAAAACCAGAAUUUGGAGGCUCAUUGGGAUCUGUCCACUACAUAUAUAACAUGGAUAAAUCUCAAAAUAAUUAUGCUGAAUGAAAGGAGCCAAUCAAAAUAAAGUACAUACUGAAUUAUAUUUAUACAUAACUUUAGAAAAUGCAAGCUAAUCUACAGUGACAAAAUGUGGACCAGUUGUCCUGUGGAAAUGGGGAACAUAGUGGGCAGGAGAAAAGAAUUACAAAAAGGGACAAUGAGACUUUAAGGAAGAUAGAUAAGUUCACUUUCUUGAUUGGGGUCAUGCUUUCAUGUGUAUAUAUAUGUCAAAACUCAUUAAAAUGUACUCUUUAAAUAUAUGCAGUUGAUCAUAUGCCAAUUAUACAUAAGUAA